AAUGAUAGAGGUGCGGGAUUCAUAAGUACGAAGGAACAGAUACGGCCUGGCAGCCGUUCCGGGGAAAGGGGAGACCGCCGAAGGAGCCUUUUAGCCAGAGAAGGGCGGCCUGGGACGUUGUAUAAGAUACAGCGUACUGUCACGUAUGUGGAGAGCUAUCUGAU
rnacentral:ncRNA from 1 species